rnacentral:rRNA from 1 species
GACGGGGGGGGGCAAGUGUUCUUCGGAAUGACUGGGCGUAAAGGGCACGUAGGCGGUGAAUCGGGUUGAAAGUGAAAGUCGCCAAAAAGUGGCGGAAUGCUCUCGAAACCAAUUCACUUGAGUGAGACAGAGGAGAGUGGAAUUUCGUGUGUAGGGGUGAAAUCCGUAAAUAUACGAAGGAACGCCAAAAGCGAAGGCAGCUCUCUGGGUCCCUACCGACGCUGGGGUGCGAA